GUCUACGGCCAUAUCACCCUGAACGCGCCGGAUCUCGUCUGAUCUCGGAAGCUAAGCAGGGUCGGGCCUGGUUAGUACUAGGAUGGGAGACUAAAGCAGGAAGCAGACC
rnacentral:rRNA from 1 species